CCGUUGUGGUGAUCUUUUUAUGGUGGUUCUUACUAUUAUAGAUGUAGUUGAUCAUAGCAGAAGUUAUAAGCAUUAGUUUGACCAAGUGUUUGCAUCAGUUAUACGUAUGGGAUGGGUGAAUGUUGAGUGUUAUGAUAUAGGCAAGAUUAGUAAGAACUGGAUUUUUGAAGUUUAAUUACAACCAAAAGUGUAAAAGGAGGGGAAAAGGGCAUGCAAAACUGUAAUAUCGAGUGGUUCGUAAAGGGAAAUCCUGAAUAAGAACUGGUUCAUGAGUGUGAAGGAAAACCAUGCUUCAGUUCAUAUGGUCCCUGAUGUCGCUAUGAACAUGAAGUGGUUCAUGAAGGAAAAUCAUAAGCAUGCAUUAUAUUAGCAGAACCAUAAAAUUAAUGCAAGAGUAGAACAAUAAAAUAUAUGAUGGAUGGACUCAGACUGUAGCUAUUGCCAUUAAUGUGCACAAAUUAAUGCUAGAGCCCUAACCACAAAUGUGAGUCCACAACGCUAGGAAAAUGGCUUGUCAAAUGCAUGGCGUUAAAAUUGCAAAAUAGGUUCACAUAACGAAGGAUGUAGGUGCAAGGAUAUUGCACAAGGAAAGUUGCCCUGACAGAUUGCAUUCAACAUAAAAGUGAGUAGACAAAGCAAAAUAGGUUUAGACAACCAACAACGUAGCAGUUGCAAACAAAAGAACCGCAGAAGUGUGCAUAAGAUUAGGAAGCCUAGUGGAUGACAGAAGUUCUAAUUCUAACGGGCUGGAACUUUAUAUACACAAACAAAAGGAGAGCUAAAGGACCUUCCAUGUUUGUACAAUUUGAUAAACACACCAGGCAAAACUAAGUAAAGAUGAGAUUGUUUAAAUACCACGCGGAGUUUCUACCCUGGAAGAUACCAAUACCCAAAUUUCAACAUAGUUUGCUCUUUUGCAAUGGUAAAAGGCAAGCAAGCAGUACGCAAGUUAACUACAGUGAAGUGACAAAAAGGAACGAAAAGAUAAUGACGAUAAUCAAUGAGGUUAAACAAUUAAAGCAAGCAGAACUAUCAAAUUUCACAGAAUUAAAGUAAGCAGAACUAUUGUAUUUUAUUGAUGACAGAAUGUUUUAUCCCAACAAAUGGAAGCAUGAUGACCUGGUGGAUCGUGAAAUUCCCGCCACUGUAGAUUUGGACCAGCCCACCGGUAAACAAGUUCUUGAUCACUUUCAUCAAAGAUUGCAGUAUGGAAAAUUAACUUUCGUUGACACGGCGAUGGUGAUUUUAAACCCGACUUUAGGUUAUGGGUUUCAGAGAAAGUAUCCCAACCUUCACCAAAUUGGAAAUUAACAAUUUCAAUUGGCCAAGCUCUGAAACCAUGCCUAAUUAGAAUCCAUGUGCUUACACCACCACUAGGGAAGUAGUUGCGAAGACCAUUUGCACAAACCUGUGCAAAAUCAGCUGGGCCAAUGGAGUUCAGGUGUCU